ACUGCUCCAACUGGGAGGCCACAUCCAAACUCUGGAUGCACGCUGGACACACAGGGAGAAGGUCUGCACAUCCUGCUUCCUGAUAGGAAGAGUCCUGAAGUAACUAUCUCCUGUUCCCUGGGGACGACAAAGCUUCCCUUCAAAGGAAGUCUUCUUAUCCCCUCCUUGGGCUGAAACUUUCGUUGUAGGCCCGGCUGCCAGAGCGUCCACAGGCUCUGCUCCCCUGGGCACCCUCUGGCUGGAGAGGCUACUGAGCUCCAGAGCCAGGGAGGAGGAGACUGAUGCAAGAGGAGCCCUAAGCACGGGAGAAUCGCCCAGAUGUCACCGGCUCCCUGCCCUGCGAGCUCAAGAUCUAAGACAGAUGGUGGCCGCAGAUGUGACCUGGACAUUCCGCAGAAUACAACGCGUUACCCCUGGCCCACUGGAUAGAGCGGGAGGCCUCACCCUUGGCAGAGACUACGGCUUUAGACACUGAAACAAACAGCUGUCCCUGCUAGCGGAGCACACUUCCGUGCUCCUUAGCCCUUUCGUGGCAGCUUCUCUGCCUGGAAUGUGGCAAAAAUUGUGUCAUCUUCCCCACUGAACAAAACCUCCUCUAGGAUCGUGACUCUGCUCCUCUUUGUUCCCCCAGCGCUAGCCACUAGGGCUUUUGAAAGCCUGAAGGAAGAAACGAGAGCAUCUCCUGUGGACGGGGUGCUCAGGGCACUGUGCUGGCCAGUGGUGGACUUUCUGGACUCAAAUGACUCACUGUCAGCUUGUCACUUUCUGCCCUGCUGAUGGGAGGAAUGCCCAAACCACUUGGGCUGGUGGGGAAGGGAUAUCCAACCCUGUUUCAGAACCUGGAGGGCGCCUUGGGAGCCCUGCCUGAGUUCCCUUCCAGAAGCCAGGGGGCUCCCUGGAGAACUGUGGCUGGC
ensembl:lncRNA